rnacentral:rRNA from 1 species
AACACAUGCAAGUCGAACGGUAACGCGGGUCUUCGGACUUGGCGACGAGUGGCGGACGGGUGAGUAACACGUUGGUACCUACCCUGGAGAGGGGGACAACCGGUGGAAACGUCGGCUAAUACCCCAUAGUCUGGCUAUUUUAGGAUAGCUAGUAAAACUCCGGUGCUCCGGGAGGGGCCAGCGAGCUAUCAGCUAGUUGGUAAGGUAAAAGCUUACCAAGGCGAAGACGGCUAGGGGGCGUGAGAGCGCGACCCCCCACAAUGGGACUGAGACACGGCCCAUACUCCUACGGGAGGCAGCAGUGAGGAAUAUUGCACAAUGGGGGCAACCCUGAUGCAGCAAUGCCGCGUGAGUGAAGAAGGCCUUCGGGUCGUAAAGCUCUUUUCUGUGGGAAGAGAGAGGACGGUACCACAGGAAUAAGUCCCGGCUAACUACGUGCCAGCAGCCGCGGUAAAACGUAGGGGGCAAGCGUUAUCCGGAAUCAUUGGGCGUAAAGCGCAUGUAGGCGGUUCAGCAAGUUGUUUGUGAAAGCUCACGGCUUAACCGAGAGAGGUCAGGCAAAACUGCUGGACUUGAGUAAGGUAGAGGGGUACAGAAUUCCUGGUGUAGUGGUGGAAUGCGUAGAUAUCAGCAGGAAUACCAGAGGCGAAAGCGGUACCCUGGGCCUAAACUGACGCUGAGAUGCGAAAGCGUGGGGAGCGAACGGGAUUAGAUACCCCGGUAGUCCACGCCGUAAACGAUGGAUACUAGGUGUAGCGGGUAUUGACCCCUGCUGUGCCGGAGUAAACGCGAUAAGUAUCCCGCCUGGGGAGUACGGCCGCAAGGCUAAAACUCAAAGGAAUUGACGGGGGCCCGCACAAGCAGCGGAGCGUGUGGUUUAAUUCGAAUACGCGAAGAACCUUACCUGGGUUUGACAUAUAGGUAGUAGUGAAGUGAAAGCGGAACGACCCUUCGGGGAGCCUAUACAGGUGUUGCAUGGCCGUCGUCAGCUCGUGUCGUGAGAUGUUGGGUUAAGUCCCGCAACGAGCGCAACCCUCGUCGUUAGUUACAAGUGUCUAGCGAGACAGCCGGCUUCGGUCGGAGGAAGGUGGGGACGACGUCAAGUCAGCAUGACCUUUAUAUCCAGGGCGACACACACGCUACAAUGGCCGGUACAAUGGGCAGCUAUAUCGCGAGAUAAUGCUAAUCUCCAAAGCCGGUCUCAGUUCGGAUAGCAGUCUGCAACUCGACUGCUUGAAGGUGGAGUUGCUAGUAACCGCGCGUCAGCCACAGUGCGGUGAAUACGUUCCCGGGCCUUGUACACACCGCCCGUCACGUCAUGGAAGCUGGUAACACCUAAAGAGGGUGACCGAACCGCAAGGAAGGAACUCUCUAGGGUGGGACUAGUAACUGGGACGAAGUC